rnacentral:tRNA from 1 species
GGGGCGUUAGCUCAGUUGGUUAGAGCAGAGGACUCAUAAUCCUUUGGCCGUUGGUUCAAGUCCAACACGCCCUACCA